AGCGAACGCUGGCGGCAGGCUUAACACAUGCAAGUCGAGCGGACGUAGCAAUACGUCAGCGGCAGACGGGUGAGUAACGCGUGGGAACGUACCUUUUGGUUCGGAACAACCCAGGGAAACUUGGGCUAAUACCGGAUAAGCCCUUACGGGGAAAGAUUUAUCGCCGAAAGAUCGGCCCGCGUCUGAUUAGCUAGUUGGUGAGGUAACGGCUCACCAAGGCGACGAUCAGUAGCUGGUCUGAGAGGAUGAUCAGCCACAUUGGGACUGAGACACGGCCCAAACUCCUACGGGAGGCAGCAGUGGGGAAUAUUGGACAAUGGGCGCAAGCCUGAUCCAGCCAUGCCGCGUGAGUGAUGAAGGCCUU
rnacentral:rRNA from 1 species